GUAGCCUAGUGGUUAUGGUCAUGGACUUGAGUUCGGAGUGUCACGGGUUCAAGUCCUGAUGCCA